UACGUAGGCAGCGCGCGUUGUUCGGAGUUACUGGGCGUAAAGCGUGCGUAGGCGGUGCCAUAAGUCUGUUGUGAAAUCUCCCGGCUUAACUGGGAGGGUGCGGUGGAAACUGUGGUGCUGGAGUGUGGGAGAGGUAGGCGGAAUUCCAGGUGUAGCGGUGAAAUGCGUAGAUAUCUGGAGGAACACCGGUGGCGAAGGCGGCAUCCUGGACCGAAAUUGACGCUGAGGCGCGAAAGCCAGGGGAGCAAACGGG
rnacentral:rRNA from 1 species